UGAUGCUUACACAGAGACUGCAAGAGGAGAAAGGCAUCCUAUUGUUGGAGAUGGCGCAGCAUUGCACAUGGUUGCAGAACAUGGCAGUUGCUCUAAAAAAUAAGGUGGCUGAGGAAGAUGUAGACAAGGGGAAUGGAGGACUUGGGUGCACCCUAAGAAGGAAGCAUGCUGAGGCGUCGGAGAGGUUGCAGGUGGUACUGCAGCAGUACAAGACUGCUUUAGGUCCUGAUGCUUCUUUCCUUCAACAUGAAGAGGAAAGUCAAAGUGGCCUAAGCAGUCCAGACACCAGUGAGGAUGAAGAAGGAAACAUAAUUUAGAUUGCUGCUGCUCUCAAGCACGAAUAUCCGCCAAGACUUAUGUGCUAUCAGAAAUGUAAAUACUUUACUGACUUUAUAUUUAGAGAUUGUAUUCAUACUCCUCAAUGGAAAAUCACACUUGAAUAUGUUGACCAUAUGACUUUUCCCUAUGCCGCAGCAUCAGGCCAAAUAUUUCACUUGUACACAACUUAAAUUGUAUUGAACAAAAUGCUCAGCGUCCCUGGAAUGCAUCCUGAGCAAUGAACCAUUCACUUUUGAUCCUUUUUGAAACACUAGAAUGUAAAUUCCUAAAUGCCCAAGUAUAUCUUGCUGGUUACCAUACAACUUGGUGAGCACAUUAUUGUCCAAGAGCAGGACGUCUUUCCCUUUUUUCCCAGAACGGGAUGCCUAUGCAUCAUUAUUAUUUUCGAUCUCUUAUAGGAUUUACCUGUCAUUAACUUUAUAUGACUGCACCUGUUACACCGCAGGCCAAUAACAGCUUUCUUUUGCGUUCCUUGCUUUAAUUGCUUUGUCAGUUAUAUUUCCUUUUUGAUCUCCAGCUAUUAACCUGAUUGAUUGAAGUACUUAAAUCAACAUGUACAAUGCACAGUCUUUUAGGAUGUAUAAUUAGGGACAUUGAGAUAAACAUCAAAUAGUUUAUUUGGUGAAUCACCUCAUUGUUGUUCUCAAAACCAAAUAAUACAUUGUUAUAUUUGAUUUACACAUAGAAUGUACAUGUUUAAUAUCCAUGGUUAAAUCAUAAAAAAAUGGUUGUGUUGUAUGAUUUCUUAAUACUGUAUGUUAUAACCGUUUGCAUAACUUGAUUUUAUGUUCUGUUGUCCAUGCUUUUCAUGUUAGACUAACCCCAACGCUCUAGAAUCAAGACAUACACCCUUAUGGUGGCCUUUUACUUGUAUUGUGGUGAAACACAUAAGUAAAUCAUUGCCAGAGAGGACCAUUUUAUUGUUUUAAAAACAAUGUUAUUGAUGUGGUUGAUUGAUGAAUAAAUAUUAAGCAUA